rnacentral:rRNA from 1 species
CAGCCGCCGCGGUAAUACGAAGGGGGCUAGCGUUGCUCGGAAUGACUGGGCGUAAAGGGCGCGUAGGCGGCGAUCAAAGUCAGGCGUGAAAUUCCUGGGCUCAACCUGGGGGCUGCGUUUGAUACUUGGUUGCUAGAGUGAGGAAGAGGGUCGUGGAAUUCCCAGUGUAGAGGUGAAAUUCGUAGAUAUUGGGAAGAACACCGGUGGCGAAGGCGGCGACCUGGUCCUUGACUGACGCUGAGGCGCGAGAGCGUGGGGAGCAAACAGGAUUAGAUACCCGCGUAGUCCCUGUCUCUUAUAA